GUAAAACUUGGCAUAUGAGGCAAAACCUUAUGCAGAUUCUCAAUACAAGAAGCUUCUUGGAAUGGUGUUUCUCAGAAAGCAAAAGUUUCUAAUUUUGAUAAGGAUGUGUGUUUGUUACAUGGGAAGUCUCAGGAACCAGAAGCAUUUUUUGUGAUUCAGAAGAAAGGUCCUUACCUGCUAUUUUCCUCCGCAUCCAUGGACAGACAAAGAGCCACACGAAAAAGGCGAAGAGCAGAGCGACACCAAAGGAAAUGAGCGCGAUGGCCCACAUUGGGAGCACCAGGCCCAGCACUGGAGAUGAAGAUGGACAGCAGUGUUAUUGUGGGUGGUGAACUGCCUGGAUUUUGCCUUUAAUGAAACUCUCAACCCCAAACAAACCAGACCAAAACAUGCUGUAUUUUGAGGGUAGAAAUCUCUGCUCAAGACACAUUACACCUUGAGAACCUGUGCUUAAACUGGUGGGUAACCUAAUUGCUAAACUGCUACAAAUGUAGCAUUGACAGCAUAUGAGUUGGGAAUAAAGCAAUUCACUAUACUUGCACGGCAAAUUGAAACUGUGGUAUAGCUACCUGUGGCUAAGCAGGAGUCUGUGCCUCUGUCCUAACUCUCUAGCUAGUGGAUGCUGCACACCAACA